UAGAGCUAAUACCUGCGCAACAUUCCGACUGAAAAGAAGGCACGCGUUUAUUAGAUCGAAACCAAUACAGGGCAACCUGUUUCAGGUGAUUCACAAUAAGCAAGCAAAUCGCACCGGCUUCGGCUAGGCGAUGAGUCAUUCAAGUUUCUGCCCUAUCAGCUGCGAUGGUACGGUAUUGGCCUACCAUGGCUUUGACGGGUGACGGAGAAUUAGGGUUCGAUUCCGGAGAGGGAGCCUGAGAAACGGCUACCACAUCCAAGGAAGGCAGCAGGCGCGUAAAUUACCCAAUCCCAACUCGGGGAGGUAGUGACAAGAAAUACUUUUUCGGGGCCCUACGGGUUCUGAAGUGGAAUGAGCACAAUUUAAAUCCCUUAGCGAGGAUCCAUUGGAGGGCAAGUCUGGUGCCAGCAGCCGCGGUAAUUCCAGCUCCAAUAGCGUAUAUUAAAGUUGUUGCAGUUAAAAAGCUCGUAGUUGGAUUUCUUUUAUGCAGGUAGGGUUUGGGUUCGCAUGCACCUUUCAUGGUGUGUGUGGCCUUCCUCUUGCAUGAAAUACUUGCCUAUUUCUCCCAGCAAUGGGGCUCCGGAAUAGGCAUCGUUUACUGUGAAAAAAUCAAAGCGUUCAAAGCAGGCUUUAUGCAAUGAAUGUCUCAGCAUGGAAUAAUAAUUUAAGCCAUUGUCUUAUUUUGUUGGUUUACAAGACGAAGGAAUGUUUAAUAGGAUCAGUCGGGGAUAUCCGAACUUGGAAGUCAGAGGUGAAAUUCUUGGAUUUUCCAAAGUCGAACUACUGCGAAAGCAUUUAUCAAGGAUGUUUUCAUUAAUCAUGAACGAAAGUUUGGGGAUCGAAGAUGAUUAGAUACCAUCGUAGUCUAAACCAUAAACGAUGCCGAUUCGGGAUCGUCUUUUGAUAUCUCAUGUCAAAGGCGGCACCGUACGCGAAAGCAAAAUCUUUGGGUUCUGGGGGGAGUAUGAUCGCAAGGUUGAAACUUAAAGGAAUUGACGGAAGGGCACCAUCAGGCGUGGAGCCUGCGGCUCAAUUUGACCCAACUCGGGAAAACUUAGCAGGGCAGGACAAAAUAAGGAUUGACAGAUUGAGAGCUCUUUCUUGAUUCUUUGGGUGGUGGUGCAUGGCCGUUCUUAGUUGGUGGAGUGAUUUGUCUGGUUAAUUCCGUUAACGAACGAGACCUCAACCUAUUAAAUAGUAGAAGCAUUCUUACGGAUGCGGCAUACUUCUUAGAGGGACUUUUCGCUUUUAGCGGAAGGAAGUUUGAGGCAAUAACAGGUCUGUGAUGCCCUUAGAUGUCCCGCGCCGCACGCGCGCUACAAUGACCAGUUCAAUCGGUACUUCCUUGGUCGAGAGGCCUGGGUAAUCCUAGAACUCUGGUCGUGAUGGGGCUAGAUUAUUGCAAUUAUUAAUCUUCAACGAGGAAUGCCUAGUAAACGCAAGUCAUCAUCUUGCAUUGAAUACAUCCCUGCCCUUUGUACACACCGCCCGUCGCAUCUACCGAUGAAUUUUGCGGUGAAGUCUUGGGAGCCUUUUAGUCUUGCCUUCACGGGCAGGUUUAGAGGGCGAACUCGAAUAAACCUUAACAUUUAGAGGAAGAUGAAGUCGUAACAAGGUU
rnacentral:rRNA from 1 species